AUUGAACGCUGGCGGCAUGCCUUACACAUGCAAGUCGAACGGCAGCACGGGUGCUUGCACCUGGUGGCGAGUGGCGAACGGGUGAGUAAUACAUCGGAACAUGUCCUGUAGUGGGGGAUAGCCCGGCGAAAGCCGGAUUAAUACCGCAUACGAUCCACGGAUGAAAGCGGGGGACCUUCGGGCCUCGCGCUAUAGGGUUGGCCGAUGGCUGAUUAGCUAGUUGGUGGGGUAAAGGCCUACCAAGGCGACGAUCAGUAGCUGGUCUGAGAGGACGACCAGCCACACUGGGACUGAGACACGGCCCAGACUCCUACGGGAGGCAGCAGUGGGGAAUUUUGGACAAUGGGCGAAAGCCUGAUCCAGCAAUGCCGCGUGUGUGAAGAAGGCCUUCGGGUUGUAAAGCACUUUUGACCGGAAAGAAAUCCUUGACUCUAAUACAGUCGGGGGAUGACGGUACCGGAAGAAUAAGCACCGGCUAACUACGUG
rnacentral:rRNA from 1 species